rnacentral:rRNA from 1 species
CAUGACGGGGUGCUUACCAUGCAAGUCGAACGGAGGUUAUUUUGAAACUUAGUGAUAGAUAACCUUAGUGGCGGACGGGUGAGUAACGCGUGGAUAACCUGCCUACAUGCCUGGGACAACACCGGGAAACUGGUGCUAAUACCGGAUACGCUCUUGUAUGCACAUGCAUAUAAGAGGAAAGGAGCAAUCCGCAUAUAGAUGGGUCCGCGUCCCAUUAGCUAGUUGGAGGUGUAAGAGACCCCCAAGGCGACGAUGGGUAGCCGGCCUGAGAGGGUGGACGGCCACACUGGAACUGAGACACGGUCCAGACUCCUACGGGAGGCAGCAGUGGGGAAUCUUCCGCAAUGGGCGAAAGCCUGACGGAGCAACGCCGCGUGAGUGAAGAAGGCCUUCGGGUCGUAAAACUCUGUCUUCAGGGAAGAAAAAAAUGACGGUACCUGAGGAGGAAGCCCCGGCUAACUACGUGCCAGCAGCCGCGGUAAAACGUAGGGGGCGAGCGUUGUCCGGAAUUACUGGGCGUAAAGGGCGCGUAGGCGGUCAUUUAAGUCAGAGGUGAAAACUACCGGCUCAACCGGUAGCCUGCCUUUGAAACUGGAUGACUUGAGGGCAGGAGAGGGGAGUGGAAUUCCCAGUGUAGCGGUGAAAUGCGUAGAUAUUGGGAGGAACACCAGUGGCGAAGGCGGCUCUCUGGCCUGUUUCUGACGCUGAGGCGCGAAAGCGUGGGGAGCGAACGGGAUUAGAUACCCCGGUAGUCCACGCCGUAACGAUGGGUGCUAGGUGUAGGAGGUAUCGACCCCUUCUGUGCGUAGCUAACGCAUAG